GAAGGGGGUUAAUAGUGAAAAAAGCAACCCCCAAACAGAUCCCAGAGGCACACCAGUGGGAACAGGGGAGGCCUGAGAAGUUGGAUAAACUGACUGUGGUCUGUAAGGUGAGACUGAAACUAUUCUAAAGGGCUGUGUGUAUGAUGUUGAAG